rnacentral:rRNA from 1 species
CGGAUCGGAGUCUGNAACCCGACUCCGUGAAGCUGGAUUCGCUAGUAAUCGCGCAUCAGCCAUGGCGCGGUGAAUACGUUCCCGGGCCUUGUACACACCGCCCGUCAAGCCAUGGAAGCCGGGGGCGCUUGAAGUGCGUUGCCGCAAGGCGCGCCCUAGAGCGAAACCGGUGACUGGGGCUAAGUCGUAACAAGGUAAC